rnacentral:rRNA from 1 species
UACAGAGGUCUCAAGCGUUGUUCGGAUUCAUUGGGCGUAAAGGGUGCGUAGGUGGCGCCGUAAGUCGGGUGUGAAAUUUCGGAGCUUAACUCCGAAACUGCAUUCGAUACUGUGGUGCUUGAGGACUGGAGAGGAGACUGGAAUUCAUGGUGUAGCAGUGAAAUGCGUAGAGAUCAUGAGGAAGACCAGUGGCGAAGGCGGGUCUCUGGGCCGAUACUGACGCUGAGGAGCGAAAGCGUGGGGAGCAAACAGG